GAUGAACGCUGGCGGCGUGCCUAAUACAUGCAAGUCGAGCGAACAGACGAGGAGCUUGCUCCUCUGACGUUAGCGGCGGACGGGUGAGUAACACGUGGAUAACCUACCUAUAAGACUGGGAUAACUUCGGGAAACCGGAGCUAAUACCGGAUAAUAUAUUGAACCGCAUGGUUCAAUAGUGAAAGACGGUUUUGCUGUCACUUAUAGAUGGAUCCGCGCCGCAUUAGCUAGUUGGUAAGGUAACGGCUUACCAAGGCAACGAUGCGUAGCCGACCUGAGAGGAUGAUCGGCCACACUGGAACUGAGACACGGUCCAGACUCCUACGGGAGGCAGCAGUGGGGAAUCUUCCGCAAUGGGCGAAAGCUUGACGGAGCAACGCCGCGUGAGUGAUGAAGGUCUUCGGAUCGUAAAACUCUGUUAUUAGGGAAGAACAAAUGUGUAAGUAACUAUGCACGUCUUGACGGUACCUAAUCAGAAAGCCACGGCUAACUACGUG
rnacentral:rRNA from 1 species